UGCGUAGGCGGAUUGGAAAGUAUGGGGUGAAAUCCCAGGGCUCAACCCUGGAACUGCCUCAUAAACUACCAGUCUAGAGUUCGAGAGAGGUGAGUGGAACUCCGAGUGUAGAGGUGAAAUUCGUAGAUAUUCGGAAGAACACCAGUGGCGAAGGCGGCUCACUGGCUCGAUACUGACGCUGAGGUACGAAAGUGUGGGGAGCAAACAGGAUUAGAUACCCUGGUAGUCC
rnacentral:rRNA from 1 species